AUUGAACGCUGGCGGCAGGCCUAACACAUGCAAGUCGAACGGUAACAGGAAGAAGCUUGCUUCUUUGCUGACGAGUGGCGGACGGGUGAGUAAUGUCUGGGAAACUGCCUGAUGGAGGGGGAUAACUACUGGAAACGGUAGCUAAUACCGCAUAACGUCGCAAGACCAAAGAGGGGGACCUUCGGGCCUCUUGCCAUCGGAUGUGCCCAGAUGGGAUUAGCUAGUAGGUGGGGUAACGGCUCACCUAGGCGACGAUCCCUAGCUGGUCUGAGAGGAUGACCAGCCACACUGGAACUGAGACACGGUCCAGACUCCUACGGGAGGCAGCAGUGGGGAAUAUUGCACAAUGGGCGCAAGCCUGAUGCAGCCAUGCCGCGUGUAUGAAGAAGGCCUUCGGGUUGUAAAGUACUUUCAGCGGGGAGGAAGGGAGUAAAGUUAAUACCUUUGCUCAUUGACAUUACCCGCAGAAGAAGCACCGGCUAACUCCGUG
rnacentral:rRNA from 1 species